rnacentral:lncRNA from 1 species
CUCCGCGCCCGCUCUGGUCCGCGCCGGGUCGGGAGCGGGGCCCGGUGGAGCGGCGGCCGCAGGGGAGAGGCUGGGGUUGUCAGGGGAAGGCCUGGAGUCCUCCAGGGACGGUUCGGUGUUCGCAGUGGACGGGCUGGGGUCCGCAGGAGACAAGAGGCAAUAACAGCUCAAGUCUCUGCAGGACACAGUUUUGUAAUGGUCUUUAUGCAUGUGCAUUUACUUCCUCUAUAAAAACCUUGUCUACUAAAAAAAUACCUGUGUGACCCUGAGAAAGAAUUUUCCUCCAGCAAGAUUUGUCCUGCAUCUUCCAGGUAUAUAAUUAAUUUGUAAUACCAGGAGCAGAGCUUUGUGAAUGGUACUGUUAGUACUCAGGUCAGCAGUAUUUAUUGCCUCAG